UUCCCACUGAUUACAAACUUCGCUGAUACCUGCCCACCCGAAAGUCUCGAGAUCGCCUGGAGUGGGGUCCGGAUUGAGGACAGGCUGACAACGGUGGGAACCAUGAUACAGAUUAUGAGAGAUGAGGGAU
rnacentral:sRNA from 1 species